AUUGAACGCUGGCGGCAGGCUUAACACAUGCAAGUCGAGCGGAGAGAGGUAGCUUGCUACUGAUCUUAGCGGCGGACGGGUGAGUAAUGCUUAGGAAUCUGCCUAUUAGUGGGGGACAACAUUUCGAAAGGAAUGCUAAUACCGCAUACGUCCUACGGGAGAAAGCAGGGGAUCUUCGGACCUUGCGCUAAUAGAUGAGCCUAAGUCGGAUUAGCUAGUUGGUGGGGUAAAGGCCUACCAAGGCGACGAUCUGUAGCGGGUCUGAGAGGAUGAUCCGCCACACUGGGACUGAGACACGGCCCAGACUCCUACGGGGGGCAGCAGUGGGGAAUAUUGGACAAUGGGCGGAAGCCUGAUCCAGCCAUGCCGCGUGUGUGAAGAAGGCCUUAUGGUUGUAAAGCACUUUAAGCGAGGAGGAGGCUACUUUAGUUAAUACCUAGAGAUAGUGGACGUUACUCGCAGAAUAAGCACCGGCUAACUCUGUGCCAGCAGCCGCCGUAACAC
rnacentral:rRNA from 1 species